rnacentral:rRNA from 1 species
UACAGAGGGUGCAAGCGUUAAUCGGAAUUACUGGGCGUAAAGCGUGCGUAGACGGUAGCGUAAGUCGGGUGUGAAAGCCCCGGGCUCAACCUGGGAAUUGCAUUCGAGACUGCUCUGCUAGGGUGCGGAAGAGGGAAGCGGAAUUUCCGGUGUAGCGGUGAAAUGCGUAGAUAUCGGAAGGAACACCAGUGGCGAAAGCGGCUUCCUGGUCCAGCACCGACGUCAGGCACGAAAGCGUGGGGAGCAAACAGGG